rnacentral:lncRNA from 1 species
UUUUAAGAGUUCAAAGAAAACACUGAAUCCUAAGGGUGGCAAGAUGAAGAAGAAGGGGAAGAAAGUCUCCGAAUAGGGUACCUGCUUUCACUGCGGCAAGGCAGGACACUGAAAAAGAAAUUGCAAAUUAUAUCUUGCAACUAUAAAGGCAGGUGCAAGCGAUGCACCAAAAGGUAUGUAUGAGAUACAUACAAUUUUGUCAUUAAGUUCUUCCAAUUCAGACUCUUGGGUAUUG